GGCAUGUACUGUCCUGACUGGGUCUUACCUUCUGGUGAGCUGUCGUGUUGUUUAUUCAGUGCGGCAGGGAACCAGGACUUUUACUUUGAAAAAAUUAGAGUGUUUAAAGCAGGCAUUCGCUUGAAUACAUUAGCAUGGAAUAAUAAAAUAGGACUUUGGUUCUAUUUUGUUGGUUUCUAGGACCGAAGUAAUGAUUAAUAGGGAUAGUUGGGGGCAUUAGUAUUUAAUUGUCAGAGGUGAAAUUCUUGGAUUUAUGAAAGACUAACUUCUGCGAAAGCAUUUGCCAAGGAUGUUUUCAUUAAUCAAGAACGAAAGUUAGGGGAUCGAAGACGAUCAGAUACCGUCGUAGUCUUAACCAUAAACUAUGCCGACUAGGGAUCAGACAAGGAUUUUUUGACUUGUUUGGCACCUUAUGAGAAAUCAAAGUUUUUGGGUUCCGGGGGGAGUAUGGUCGCAAGGCUGAAACUUAAAGGAAUUGACGGAAGGGCACCACCAGGAGUGGAGCCUGCGGCUUAAUUUGACUCAACACGGGGAAACUCACCAGGUCCAGACAUAGUAAGGAUUGACAGAUUGAGAGCUCUUUCUUGAUUCUAUGGGUGGUGGUGCAUGGCCGUUCUUAGUUGGUGGAGUGAUUUGUCUGGUUAAUUCCGCUAACGAACGAGACCUUAACCUGCUAAAUAGUUAGGCCAACGUUUGUUGGUCGUCAACUUCUUAGAGGGACUAUUGA
rnacentral:rRNA from 1 species